rnacentral:miRNA from 1 species
GCCUGGCACCGCGGAGGUGCUCUGUAAAUAUUUAUUGGAUGAAUGACACUCAGUAAACACUCAUUUCCAACAAAACCUCCUCUAUGCCUGGCCUGGUGCU